rnacentral:rRNA from 1 species
CGGGACACGUGGUAUCCUGUCUGAAUAUGGGGGGACCAUCCUCCAAGGCUAAAUACUCCUGACUGACCGAUAGUGAACCAGUACCGUGAGGGAAAGGCGAAAAGAACCCCGGCGAGGGGAGUGAAAAAGAACCUGAAACCGUGUACGUACAAGCAGUGGGAGCCUCUUUUAUGGGGUGACUGCGUACCUUUUGUAUAAUGGGUCAGCGACUUAUAUUCUGUAGCAAGGUUAACCGAAUAGGGGAGCCGAAGGGAAACCGAGUCUUAACUGGGCGUUAAGUUGCAGGGUAUAGACCCGAAACCCGGUGAUCUAGCCAUGGGCAGGUUGAAGGUUGGGUAACACUAACUGGAGGACCGAACCGACUAAUGUUGAAAAAUUAGCGGAUGACUUGUGGCUGGGGGUGAAAGGCCAAUCAAACCGGGAGAUAGCUGGUUCUCCCCGAAAGCUAUUUAGGUAGCGCCUCGUGAAUUCAUCUCCGGGGGUAGAGCACUGUUUCGGCAAGGGGGUCAUCCCGACUUACCAACCCGAUGCAAACUGCGAAUACCGGAGAAUGUUAUCACGGGAGACACACGGCGGGUGCUAACGUCCGUCGUGAAGAGGGAAACAACCCAGACCGCCAGCUAAGGUCCCAAAGUCAUGGUUAAGUGGGAAACGAUGUGGGAAGGCCCAGACAGCCAGGAUGUUGGCUUAGAAGCAGCCAUCAUUUAAAGAAAGCGUAAUAGCUCACUGGUCGAGUCGGCCUGCGCGGAAGAUGUAACGGGGCUAAACCAUGCACCGAAGCUGCGGCAGCGACGCUUAUGCGUUGUUGGGUAGGGGAGCGUUCUGUAAGCCUGCGAAGGUGUGCUGUGAGGCAUGCUGGAGGUAUCAGAAGUGCGAAUGCUGACAUAAGUAACGAUAAAGCGGGUGAAAAGCCCGCUCGCCGGAAGACCAAGGGUUCCUGUCCAACGUUAAUCGGGGCAGGGUGAGUCGACCCCUAAGGCGAGGCCGAAAGGCGUAGUCGAUGGGAAACAGGUUAAUAUUCCUGUACUUGGUGUUACUGCGAAGGGGGGACGGAGAAGGCUAUGUUGGCCGGGCGACGGUUGUCCCGGUUUAAGCGUGUAGGCUGGUUUUCCAGGCAAAUCCGGAAAAUCAAGGCUGAGGCGUGAUGACGAGGCACUACGGUGCUGAAGCAACAAAUGCCCUGCUUCCAGGAAAAGCCUCUAAGCAUCAGGUAACAUCAAAUCGUACCCCAAACCGACACAGGUGGUCAGGUAGAGAAUACCAAGGCGCUUGAGAGAACUCGGGUGAAGGAACUAGGCAAAAUGGUGCCGUAACUUCGGGAGAAGGCACGCUGAUAUGUAGGUGAAGCGACUUGCUCGUGGAGCUGAAAUCAGUCGAAGAUACCAGCUGGCUGCAACUGUUUAUUAAAAACACAGCACUGUGCAAACACGAAAGUGGACGUAUACGGUGUGACGCCUGCCCGGUGCCGGAAGGUUAAUUGAUGGGGUUAGCGGUAACGCGAAGCUCUUGAUCGAAGCCCCGGUAAACGGCGGCCGUAACUAUAACGGUCCUAAGGUAGCGAAAUUCCUUGUCGGGUAAGUUCCGACCUGCACGAAUGGCGUAAUGAUGGCCAGGCUGUCUCCACCCGAGACUCAGUGAAAUUGAACUCGCUGUGAAGAUGCAGUGUACCCGCGGCAAGACGGAAAGACCCCGUGAACCUUUACUAUAGCUUGACACUGAACAUUGAGCCUUGAUGUGUAGGAUAGGUGGGAGGCUUUGAAGUGUGG